rnacentral:rRNA from 1 species
GACGAACGCUGGCGGUGUGCUUAACACAUGCAAGUCGAACGGAAAGGCCCCUUUGGCGGUACUCGAGUGGCGAACGGGUGAGUAACACGUGAGUAACCUGCCCUUUAUUUCGGGACAACUUCAGGAAACUGGGGCUAAUACCGCUAAGGAAUCCUUCCUGCAUGGGGGGGGUUGGAAAGCUUUGGCGGUUUUGGAUGGACUCGCGGCUUAUUAGCUUGUUGGUGGGGUAGUGGGUUACCGACGCUCUGACGGGUAGACGGCCUGAGGGGGUGACCGGCCACAUUGGGACUGAGGGACGGCACAGAUUGCUAAGGGAGGAAGAAGUGGGGAAUAUUGCACAAUGGACGGAAGCCUGGUGAAGCAACGCCGCGGGCGGGAUGGCGGCCUUCGGGUUGUAGACCACUUUCAGCAGGGGCGAAGCUUGUGGUGACGGUACCUGCAGAAGAAGCACCGGCUAACUACGUG